UACAGAGGGCCCGAGCGUUGUUCGGAUUUACUGGGCGUAAAGGGCGCGUAGGCGGUGACGUAAGGCGGAUGUGAAAUCUCGGAGCUUAACUCCGAAACUGCAUUCGAUACUGCCGUGCUUGAGGACUGGAGAGGAGACUGGAAUUUACGGUGUAGCGGUGAAAUGCGUAGAUAUCGUAAGGAAGACCAGUGGCGAAGGCGGGUCUCUGGACAGUUCCUGACGCUGAGGCACGAAGGCCAGGGGAGCAAACGGG
rnacentral:rRNA from 1 species